UACAGAGGGUUCGAGCGUUAAUCGGAAUUACUGGGCGUAAAGCGCACGUAGGUGGCGCCGUAAUCCGGGUGUGAAAGCCACGGGCUCAAACUGGGAAUUGCAUUCGAGACUGCAUUGCUGGAGAACGGAUGAGGAGGGCGGAAUUCCCGGUGUAGCGGUGAAAGGCGUAGAUAUCGGGAGUAACAUCAGUGGCGAAGGCGGCCCUCUGGUCCAGUACUUACAAUCAAGUGCGAAAGCGUGGGGAGCAAACAGG
rnacentral:rRNA from 1 species